rnacentral:rRNA from 1 species
GACGAACGCUGGCGGCGUGCUUAACACAUGCAAGUCGAACGGAAAGGCCCUUUCGGGGGUACUCGAGUGGCGAACGGGUGAGUAACACGUGGGUGAUCUGCCCUGCACUUUGGGAUAAGCCUGGGAAACUGGGUCUAAUACCGGAUAUACCCUGCUGGUCGCAUGGCCUGGUGGGGGAAAGCUUUUGCGGUGUGGGAUGGGCCCGCGGCCUAUCAGCUUGUUGGUGGGGUGAUGGCCUACCAAGGCGACGACGGGUAGCCGGCCUGAGAGGGUGUCCGGCCACACUGGGACUGAGAUACGGCCCAGACUCCUACGGGAGGCAGCAGUGGGGAAUAUUGCACAAUGGGCGCAAGCCUGAUGCAGCGACGCCGCGUGGGGAUGACGGCCUG